rnacentral:rRNA from 1 species
GACGAACGCUGGCGGCGUGCUUAACACAUGCAAGUCGAACGGUAAGGCCCCAGCUUGCUGGGGUACACGAGUGGCGAACGGGUGAGUAACACGUGGGUGACCUGCCCCGCACUUCGGGAUAAGCCUGGGAAACUGGGUCUAAUACCGGAUAGGACCUCCCCGUGAGGGGGUGGUGGAAAGUUUUUCGGUGUGGGAUGGGCCCGCGGCCUAUCAGCUUGUUGGUGGGGUAAUGGCCUACCAAGGCGGCGACGGGUAGCCGGCCUGAGAGGGUGGACGGCCACAUUGGGGCUGAGACACGGCCCAGACUCCUACGGGAGGCAGCAGUGGGGAAUAUUGCACAAUGGGCGGAAGCCUGAUGCAGCGACGCCGCGUGGGGGAUGACGGCCUUCGGGUUGUAAACUCCUUUCACCAGUGACGAAGCGUUAGUGACGGUAGAUGGUGAAGAAGCACCGGCUAACUACGUG